GGGUCGGUGAUGACUGGUCCACUGCGCAAGCUGAGCUGUCACUAAACGUGCAUCGACCCUGAAGAGAGCCGUGCUGAACGCAGGCUGAGACCC